GCCGGCAUAGCUCAGCCGUGGUAGAGCAACUGACUUGUAAUCAGUAGGUCCCGAGUUCGACUCUUGGUGCCGGCACCA
rnacentral:tRNA from 2 species